UACAGAGGUCCCGAGCGUUGUUCGGAUUUAUUGGGCGUAAAGGGUGCGUAGGUGGCAAAGUAAGUUGGAUGUGAAAUCCUGGGGCUCAACCUCAGAAUUGCAUUCAAUACUGCUUAGCUAGAGAGCUGUAGAGGAGACUGGAAUUUACGGUGUAGCAGUGAAAUGCGUAGAUAUCGUAAGGGACGCCAGUGGCGAAAGCGAGUCUCUGGGCAGCAUCUGACACUGAGGCACGAAGGCCAGGGGAGCAAACGGG
rnacentral:rRNA from 1 species